AGGCGCCCGCCACCGCGCCUGGCUAAUUUUUUUUUGUAUUUUUUUAGUAGAGAUGGCGUUUCACCGUGGUCUCCAUCUCCUCACCUCGUGAUCCGCCCGCCUCGGCCUCCCAAAGUGCUGGGAUUACAGGCGUGAGCCACCGCGCCCGGCCAGAAGUCAGCUUUUUUCUUAAUGUGGAGCUCCGGUUUCUUGCUGAGCCAGGAAUCACCUAUUACUAUCUGAUUUGCGGGGGACACAAAGAAGGAGGAAAAAUCACCAGGGUGAAGGAAGGCAUGAAGAGAAGGUAGUCUAAACUCUAAAGUAUUAGCAUUUUCUUAUAGUUAUAUCACUGCUACAUUCAGCUGAUUAUUACAAAUGCAUCUCUAAUAUAUUUUUCUCCUGUGUUUUUCUACAAGAACUUUCUCAGAGAGGUUGGUGAUAAGAAUAUCUUAUUAGUAUUUUUAUACUCUGCUACUCUAGUGGAAAAUCUAUUCUGAAAAACAUAACAUUCUAAAAGCUAAAUAUGUUAUAGGCAGAAAACGAAUAAAUAAACAAAAUGAACAUUGAAUCUAAUAUUGAAUAUUGGAUUGGGCAUGUUAUUUCUAUUAACGUUAAAUGGAUAUGUAAGCAUUUUAGUAGCUAUAUAAUAAUACACAUAUAUAUGUAAUAUUGUAUUAGAUGUUUGUACAUGUAGAGGUAAACUAAAAAUAUUAAAAUUAAAAAAUUAGAUUUUUUUGACAACAUAAAAAUAAAUUAUUGUAUAAUGACGUUCGUAAUCUCUGAAUAGACAAAACAAUAGUAGCGUUGUAAUUACCUGGAUGAUUUUUGGAAGUGCAGAAUGCCGACCUCAGAUCUACUGGAUCAGAAUCUACAACUGAACAAUUACCAGGUGC
rnacentral:lncRNA from 1 species